GGCAAAGCAGGGGAGGAUGGGAAACCAGGACUGCCUGGAAAACCUGGCGAGGAUGGCGUGCCAGGAGAGGAUGGUCGAAAGGGAGAUAAAGGAGAGCCUGGGCCCACUGGAAGAGAUGGUCGAGAUGGGUUGAAAGGUGAUCAGGGCAUUGCAGGACUUAUUGGCCCUCAAGGUCCCAUUGGACCCCCUGGAGUUCCUGGAAAUGUCGGACCACCAGGACCUGUGGUGUAUGUUAAAGGGGAGCCAGCAACACCUAUUCCAGGCCCCCAGGGCCCUCCAGGAGCCCCUGGAGUACCUGGAGUCCCAGGAGCUGCUGGACCAAGAGGGGAGAGAGGUCUGCCAGGCUUGAAAGGAGAUGC